UACGGAGGGUGCAAGCGUUAUCCGGAUUCACUGGGCGUAAAGGGGUGCGUAGGCGGGUCUUUUAAGUCAGGGGUGAAAUCCUGGAGCUCAACUCCAGAACUGCCUUUGAUACUGGGAGCUUGAGUCCGGAAGAGGUGAGUGGAACUCCGAGUGUAGAGGUGAAAUUCGUAGAUAUUCGGAAGAACACCAGUGGCGAAGGCGGCUC
rnacentral:rRNA from 1 species